UGAAUUUAAGUUCUCCUUCGGAGGCACAUAUUCAAUUACCAGUGGAAUGAUAAACAAUCCUGCAUCACUUGGUAAACAUGCAUCUGCCUCUAGCUAAUUCAAUAUAAAUAGUGAAUUUAUUUAUUUUUUUAAUUCUUUACUAAUUCUUUUGUGCUAUAAGUGAUUUGUACAUAUCAUAGUAAAAUAAAAAAUAACAUUGGUUACAAUUGUUUAUUGAAAAUGUGCAAACUUAAGUCAUGAAAGUUGUUUGUAUAAUGUGAGAUCUCAAUGAAUAAGCAGCUUUGCAUUGUAUUCAAUGAUUAUUUGA
rnacentral:lncRNA from 1 species